UUGCUUGGUGGAUCAGUGGCGAACGGGUGAGUAACACGUGAGCAACCUGCCCUGGACUCUGGGAUAAGCGCUGGAAACGGCGUCUAAUACUGGAUAUGAGCUCUCAUCGCAUGGUGGGGGUUGGAAAGAUUUUUCGGUCUGGGAUGGGCUCGCGGCCUAUCAGCUUGUUGGUGAGGUAAUGGCUCACCAAGGCGUCGACGGGUAGCCGGCCUGAGAGGGUGACCGGCCACACUGGGACUGAGACACGGCCCAGACUCCUACGGGAGGCAGCAGUGGGGAAUAUUGCACAAUGGGCGGAAGCCUGAUGCAGCAACGCCGCGUGAGGGAUGACGGCCUUCGGGUUGUAAACCUCUUUUAGCAGGGAAGAAGCGAGAGUGACGGUACCUGCAGAAAAAGCGCCGGCUAACUACGUGCCAGCAGCCGCGGUAAUACGUAGGGCGCAAGCGUUAUCCGGAAUUAUUGGGCGUAAAGAGCUCGUAGGCGGUUUGUCGCGUCUGCUGUGAAAUCCCGAGGCUCAACCUCGGGCCUGCAGUGGGUACGGGCAGACUAGAGUGCGGUAGGGGAGAUUGGAAUUCCUGGUGUAGCGGUGGAAUGCGCAGAUAUCAGGAGGAACACCGAUGGCGAAGGCAGAUCUCUGGGCCGUAACUGACGCUGAGGAGCGAAAGGGUGGGGAGCAAACAGGCUUAGAUACCCUGGUAGUCCACCCCGUAAACGUUGGGAACUAGUUGUGGGG
rnacentral:rRNA from 1 species